GUAGGUGGCAAGCGUUGUCCGGAAUUAUUGGGCGUAAAGCGCGCGCAGGCGGUUCUUUAAGUCUGAUGUGAAAGCCCACGGGCUCAACCGUGGAGGGUCAUUGGAAACUGGAGAACUUGAGUACAGAAGAGGAAAGCGGAAUUCCACGUGUAGCGGUGAAAUGCGUAGAGAUGUGGAGGAACACCAGUGGCGAAGGCGGCUUUCUGGUCUGUAACUGACGCUGAGGCGCGAAAGCGUGGGGAGCAAACAGGAUUAGAUACCCUGGUAGUCCACGCCGUAAACGAUGAGUGCUAAGUGUUAGGGGGUUUCCGCCCCUUAGUGCUGCAGCUAACGCAUUAAGCACUCCACCUGGGGAGUACGGCCGCAAGGCUG
rnacentral:rRNA from 1 species